rnacentral:sRNA from 1 species
GGGGCACAAGUACUCGCUACUCGGCUCGUACUCACCUUGAAAAUUCAAGUUACUCGUCAUAGGCAAGUCAAGUAACAAGUCGGUUUAUUUUAUUACUUGCAAGUGCAAGCCAAGUAUCAAGUAUCAUAAUUUUUUUUUGAUACUUGCCUCGUUACUUGCCUCGUUUUGAUACUUGUCCCGUUACUUGCCUCGUUACUUGCCUCAUUUUGAUGUUUGUCCUUUUACUUGCUCUGUUACUCGUUAUUUGUACAUGUGACUUGUGGGAUCACUAAUAAUUAGGUCUGGAUAUAAAUAAAUUUCUAUUACUUACCUUGUUAAUUGUUGAACAUUGUAUACUUGUUACUAACAUACUAAUGCUUAAAUUAUUAUAAUAGAUUUAAAAUUUUGGUUUGGCCUAUAAAAGCU